UGGGGGAUAUUGCACAAUGGGCGAAAGCCUGAUGCAGCGACGCCGCGUGGGGGAUGAAGGCUUUCGGGUUGUAAACCUCUUUCGCUAUCGAACAAGGCCCGCUUAGGGUGGGUUGAGGGUAGGUGGAGAAGAAGCGCCGGCUAACUACGUGCCAGCAGCCGCGGUAAUACGUAGGGCGCGAGCGUUGUCCGGAAUUAUUGGGCGUAAAGGGCUUGUAGGCGGCUUGUUGCGCCUGCUGUGAAAACGCGGGGCUUAACUUCGCGCGUGCAGUGGGUACUGGCAGGCUUGAGUGUGGUAGGGGUGACUGGAAUUCCAGGUGUAGCGGUGGAAUGCGCAGAUAUCUGGAGGAACACCGAUGGCGAAGGCAGGUCACUGGGCCAUUACUGACGCUGAGGAGCGAAAGCAUGGGUAGCGAACAGG
rnacentral:rRNA from 2 species